rnacentral:piRNA from 1 species
GAGCUAAUCAGGGAGUCUGUACACUUGCC